CUCUACUUUUUUUGUCUGGGGAGAAGAGAAGAAUGAUUUCACACUAUAAAAAAUGUUUCGUAUAAAGACUGAUUCGUUUGUAGUCAGUCAUGCGACGUUACCCUUUGAAUCAUAGGGUUUGCUGAACCUGUCUUUUUUUCUUUUCUGACGACGGCAUUCUUGUCUUCGUCACUGUUGCCAUCUGACAAUGGAGGCAAGCAUCAGCAUAGCCCACUAAUUAAGCAUCAGCUUCUCGCGAAGAACUGAGGACACCGGAAUAUAUGGCAUAGGCCUGCGGAGGGAGGGGUCUUGGUGGUGCUGGGCUACCGGAAGGCUCCGUACCGCCGCUGAAUGGAAUCUGGCUGUGUCCGAAAAGCAAUGGCUAUGGGUUUGACAUCGAAAAAGGCAUCUUCUCGGAGCGUCGGCGUGGAGCGAAAAAAUCUCAUCACCGUAUGCAGGUAAACACAAGGGAGCAGAGGUUUCGUGUGGUUGGCACGUCAUGUUAACCACACAUAUUAGUUAAUGCAUGCAUGGAAAUAAAUGUGUAAUGGCUUAGGGUACAAUGUAUUAAGCGUUCGAAUAAUUUGCGGCUGCAAUAGUUAAGUGUUAGUGCCAGCUCUGUGUCCUGUGUUGUUUGUUCCCAAUCAUAUAUGCUCAUAAGAAAACGAAAAGAAAAACAAAAGGCAACAUAUUUCACAGCUAUGGGCACUGUGGUAGCCUAUACAUUAGGCUACUUGGGGAAAUUUAAAUGGAUCAACGUUUUAUGUUGUUUUUUUUAUCUUGGUAAAUAACGGUAAGAGUGAAUCAGAUCGCCUUAUAAAUAAACAGCCACAUAUGCGGUUUCACCUUGGUGGACACCCCGCUGUCUCCGCCGCUAUGUCGGCCUACUUGAAAGGAAAGUGGAUUAAAUGGGGUGUGUGAGGCCUAUGUUUGAGAGGGCAUUGGUCCACCAGAAUUCCCCAGGUCGGUGAUGUAGCAAUGACGACAACCUUCUUGGAACGAGGACAUUAUUUACCGCUUAUAGAAAUGCUGCUCCAAGAUAAUGACAUCACAGUGAAAUCGGAUGUUUAUUAUGGUCAUUGAAUGCUGCUGUGCUGUGCUCAUUAUGCACUAAAAACACCCAGAGGAAUUUAACCCGGUGGCCUGAGAGCUCUCAGAAAAAAGUAUAGGCCUACAACAUUUUUGCCAGCUCAUCUAUACCAGAGUAACUGAUACCUACAGCUGAUACUGCUGAUAAUAUAAUUGCAUAGCAGUCAUACCCCUGUGUCUGGUUGUCAUGGGAAUGCUAUUUGAUAACUUGGUGAAGGAGAAGUUAUGUUUUGCCCAAUGUAGGCUAAUGUAUCAUCAGUGCUCCAUCCUAGAAUAUUCCUAUUUGUAAAGGCAUCAUUCAUGUGAAUACUAUAUGAUGAUAAACAUUUUAUGUAAAUUAAUAUAAUACUAUAUUCAAUUUUAGAUAUAUAUCUUCACAAUUAUUUCAAGAGUGCAAAUGUGUUUAUACAAAAUACCCAAUGUGUCUUAUCUCUGUGUCCUGAUGCAUCUAUACUGUAAGCUUCCUCAUGUCCGUCUGAGUCAUCAUGGUUUAUAUCCCUGUCUUCAUAUAAGGAGCUCCAGUAGGAACAGCAACUGGAUUGUUGCCUCAGAAACGUGUGGGUCUGUGGCUUGUAGCUUGUAUGUUAGCAAUGUGAAUAUAUUAUCUCUGGGCACCCACAUGAUGAGACGUGAACCUAUCAGACGAGGCAUAUAUGUGUUCAGUGUGUGCUGUCACUGAGCGGCCAGGAGACCCAUUGUCUUGCUGUCAGGGACACAACAUUUUAUCUCCUGAGGGAGGCAUUGUUUUACAGAGGACCAACGGGAGUGACAUCACUCAAGCUCCUGGUGCUCUCACUGCUCUCAGAAAUUAGCAGAAAAUGAGUUAUGCAUUCUAUGUGUAGUGUUGGUAGGCUUAUAUGGUUCAUGACAUUGUUACUAAUCAUGGAUAUUUUCCCAUACUUCCAAUCCCAUGACAUCGACAUUGGCCACAUCCUCAUGAUAUGACAUGUUGAGUUUAGUGUUUGUUUGCUGCUUGGAUAGAAGAAUAAAGAGACAAAUGAAAACUCCAGGAACACGAUCAAGCACUUUUUAUUACAGCACCUCUCUGUCAAGGGUUCUGUCUGCAUUUAGUGGAACAUAGUGUAAUAGAACAGACAUAGAUCAUGACCAAAAAUAAAGAAUGUUUUCAAAGACAGACUUCAGACUCCAAGAAGGAUUAGCGAGAGAACAAA